UAGGGAGGGUGCAAGCGUUAUCCGGAUGCACUGGGUUUAAAGGGUGCGUAGGCGGGCUGGCAAGUCCGUGGUGAAAUCUCCAAGCUUAACUUGGAAACUGCCGUGGAUACUAUCAAUCUUGAAUGUCGUGGAGGUAAGCGGAAUAUGUCAUGUAGCGGUGAAAUGCUUAGAGAUGACAUAGAACACCAAUUGCGUAGGCAGCUUACUACACGAAUAUUGACGCUGAGGCACGUAAGCGUGGGGAGCAAACAGG
rnacentral:rRNA from 1 species